rnacentral:lncRNA from 1 species
UCCUCAAUCUCUCUUCUCACCCUCACAGUCGGCUCUCCUCUUUAUCUAAUUAUCCUCCAGUGAAAGCAUUUUCCUUAGAUCUUGCCUCUCAAUUUCCCUGUCCUACUUAUAGAGAUCAACUGUGCUCCUUCCUUGUCUCUUGUUACCAAGUCUACUCACCUAGCCACCAUUUACCACAACUGAUAAAGCAAAAGUGAUAAACUGAGGAAAAAAUGUGUUGGUCUUAUAAAUAAAAGAUUGUUCAGUCAAAAAACAGGAUGGGAUUGGUUAUAGGUAAUGAAAAUUAUUUUUGUCACAUAUGCACAUUAAAAAUAAGGCAAUUUGUCACAUACACUGCUAAAGGACUUGAAGUAAAUGAUGCUGGAAAUGGAAAGGAAAUGAUGCUGGUGAUGGAAAGGAGAUGGUGCUGCUGAUCAAAAGAAGAUGGUGCUGCUGAUGGAAAGGAGAUGGUGCUGGAGAUGAUGGAAAGGAGAUGGUGCUGGUGAUGAUGGAAAGGAGAUGACACUGGUGAUGAUGGAAAGGAGAUGACACUGGUGAUGAUGGAAAGCAGAUGAUGCUGGUGAUGAUGGAAAGGAGUUGAUGCUGGUGAUGAUGGAAAGGAGAUGAUGCUGGUGAUGGAAAGGAGAUGGUGCUGAUGAUGAUGGAAAGGAGAUGGUGCUGGUGAUGGAAAGGAGAUGGUGCUGCUGAUGGAAAGGAGGCAUAUAUGGAAGCAUGAAUGGACCACACCUCAUUGCCCAGUUAUUCCUCUGCUUUCUAUUAGCAUUCUUUAUGGUUUAGUGCCCUAGUCAAGUGAUAGAUCAUCCUCUUGUUAAGAUAGUCUUUAUACAAACAGAUUUUCUCUCCUAUCUCAAGCUGAUGGAAAUUAUUUUACUUUGCCUUAUGCAUUACAUCCCUUUUGUGCUCAUUAUGCAUUGAAGAGCUGGAACCACUAAUAGCGGUAGCAAUUUCUUCUCAUAAUGUUUCCUUCUCAUGUAGAAAGUUAUAGUUUCAAAUUUAACUGGAAUCACAAGAGAUCAAGUGCUCUGAAAUUUUAUUGAAGAUGCA